CAUUAUGAAAAAUACGUUAUAUGUGCAAGGUCGCGUGAUUAUCCGAUAAUUUUGCAUUUUUACUGGAAUUGAGGAUAAAGCAAAGGCGCCAAAAUUGUGUUAAGAUAUUUGGAAUAUAUAAAAUUACUUUAAAAUUGUUCCGUAAAAGUGUUGGAGUUAGUAGCUAAAUCUCAAAGAUUAUUGUUUAGAAGAGACGAGUUGUUCAGUUUAUAUUACCUAAGUAUUCAAAUAUUUCAGAAUAUACAGUUUGAUUUGUUAUCAAAUAUAGAGUUGUUGUUAGGAUUUCCAGGCUAAGGCUAAAAUAAUAAAAUUUUAAGCCCAUAACUACUUUUGUUGUAAUCAACGAUGGAUUCAGAGUAAUCACUUUUGGUUGACUUCAAUGGAAAAUUAACCAGUGAGAACUGGAUGAACUCGACAUAACAUUGAUGUGAAAAAUGUGACCAGUAAGUUGCAAAUCCAAUAUUCAUGAAUUUUUAUAACAUAAACGAAAUGUCAACGGUACAUUUCCAAGAAAAACAUAAAAAAAAUUAAUCAACCACUUCCGGCUGCAUCAUUGCAUCUGCAUAUCCGUUUACCGGCACCGAUAAUUGGUGUCUGCGGUGUUUAACCAUUAUUUAUGUCACGCAAUCUUGCGCAUCGUUUGAAAAUUCCUACAUUUCCAUUCAUUUAAACGAUAAAAGAAAACUUAACAAAUUCACAUACUAGUGCUUUGGAUGUUUGGAGAAUCUGAUCAUAAUUAAGUUAUUUGUACUCGCAAGAAAAAUGGGGACUACAUAUGAAUGGAGACAACGGAGUGGGCGCAUUAUGUUGUUUAUGGAAGUGGGACCUGUGGUGAGAAGACGAUUGCAAAGUUCAAUGGUCUUUUGACAUAAAUGGUGUCAAGUUGAGCCAGGACCAAACGGACACACCAGCUACGAAUGAAAACGAAGCAAUACUCUACUCACACGUGCUUGUGCCUACCCACCCUUCAGCUUCUGCAUCGACUUAUUUUGUAUAUAUGUAUGUGCAUACCAUAUAUCAUAGGUAUUUAGGUAUAUCCAUAUUUUUAUGUAUUUUUUAUAAUAUUGCCAGUGCCAUCCAAAGUUUUGUAAUUUGUUUCUAUUUUCGAACAUUACAUAUUUUGCAUACAUAUGUAUGUUUAUAUACUACAAAUAAAUGAACAUAUGAACAUAUUCAGAAGUAUAUGAGCAUUUGUAUAUUCAUCUACAUAUAAAUAUUCAACUUGUAUAUUUAACGCAUGCAUUGC
rnacentral:lncRNA from 1 species